UUUAAACGAAGCAGCUUUGCGUUUAACUGUUAAUUAUUUUUCAGCCGCUUCGCGCGGCCGUUUAAAA
rnacentral:tRNA from 1 species